rnacentral:rRNA from 1 species
GAUGGACGCUAGCGAUAGGCCUUACACAUGCAAGUCGGGGGGCACCACAAAGAAAGUAGCAAUACUUUCUUGGUGGCGACCGGCGCACGGGUGAGUAACGCGUAUGCAACCUGCCUAUUACUUUGGGAUAGUUCGUUGAAAGACGAAUUAAUACCUUAUAAAACAGGGGCUCCGCAUGGAGAUAUUUGUUAAAGAUUUAUUGGUAGUAGAUGGGCAUGCGUUCCAUUAGUUAGUUGGUGAGGUUAUUGCUCACCAAGACUACGAUGGAUAGGGGAACUGAGAGGUUUGUCCCCCACACUGGAACUGAGACACGGUCCAGACUCCUACGGGAGGCAGCAGUGAGGAAUAUUGGUCAAUGGAGGCAACUCUGAACCAGCCAAGUCGCGUGAAGGAUGACGGCCCUACGGGUUGUAAACUUCUUUUUUAAGGGAAUAAAGUGAGCCACGUGUGGCU